UCAACUUAAUAUUAGAUAUACUAUUUCUAAACACUGCAAAAUGACAACAUUGAGUUCAAAAACUGUUAUGAUUAAACUUUGCGUUCAAAAUAAUGCUAAAUAAUGCAUAUAAAAUCAAACAGAUUUUGAAAGAACAUCAUCUUUUCCACAACAUAAAGAUAUGAUGAAUGGAUUAAUCCAAUAUUAAAUUAUAAUAAUUUGGGCUUGAAUGUUAUUUCAUUAAUUAAAAGUUGUUUAAGACUAAAUAAGGUUAUAGCAAAACUUAGGAACUUAAAAGCUUUAAACACAGACAAAUACAAAUACAAAUAUGAGCAAAUAUAUACACAUAAUUAUAUGUAUACUAGAAAUUGUAUACUACAAUUUUUUCAAAUUAAUGAUAUAUUUUUAACUAAUACACAAAUAAUUAUAUUGUUGAAGAACAGAAAGUAGGUUCAAAUAACAAUGAAGAAAUCCAUUUAUAUAUUCUAAAAACUGAAAGUGUCUGUAGUCCAAAUCCAUAAGAAUACCAUAGAAACCUUUGCUAAAGACAAUGACAUAUCAAUACAAACACCGUCUACAGGAUGUAAAAGAAAAAGACAAGAGCCAACAAUUUUUAAACAUUUUGAUGUCACUGCAACCACAAGUGCUGAACAUAGUAUCGAUGAAACUAAUGAAACUGUUGAAAGUUAUUUUUAAAAAAAUGCGUUCUUUCCUGUAUUUGAUGCUAUCUUGAUAAAUCUAGAAAAAAGGUUUUCUUUUGAAAGCCUCCAAAUGGCUACAGCUGUUGAUCAAUUUUUUCAACUUAACUUUGAAGAAAGUAUUUAUUUUGUAGAUCAAUAUAAAGAUUUAAUGUGUGUAUCUAAAGAUGUAUUGAAGUCAGAAAUGGCAGUGGUAAAGAAUUGUAUUAUGCAAUUUACUGAAAAAAACUGUAUAACUUUAAAUUAUAUAAAAAAAGUUUUAACAAAAAAUGUUUUUCCUAAUUUUUAUAAAUUAUUUCAAGUUGCUAUGACAAUACCAAUAAGUUCCUCAUUUUGUGAGAGGAGUUUUUCGGCGAUGCGCCGAAUUAAAAUUUGGCUUCGAACUUCUAUGUUGCAAGAACGGUUCAACAACACAUCAAUAUUGUAUAUUGAAAAAAACAUAACUAAAUGUUACCGAUUACCGAUACUGUUAUUGAUAUAUUUGCAAAAAAAAAUAGAUUAAUAACAUUAAAAUAAAAACAAAUUUAAUAGCUUUAAA